rnacentral:rRNA from 1 species
GUACCGUGAGGGAAAGGUGAAAAGAACCCUGAAUAAGGGAGUGAAAUAGAACCUGAAACCAUACGCUUACAAGCGGUCGGAGCAGACUUGAUCUGUGACGGCGUGCCUUUUGCAUAAUGAGCCUACGAGUUACCGUUGCUAGCAAGGUUAAGGACUUCAGGUCCGGAUCCGUAGCGAAAGCGAGUCUGAAUAGGGCGCUUUAGUUAGUAGUGGUAGACGCGAAACCGUGUGAUCUACCCAUGGGCAGGGUGAAGCUGUAGUAACAUACAGUGGAGGCCCGAA